rnacentral:rRNA from 1 species
CCCUUAGACGUUCUGGGCCGCACGCGCGCUACACUGACCAGUGCAACAAGCAUCCGUCCUUGGCCGACAGGCCCGGGCAAUCUUUGAACGCUGGUCGUGAUGGGGAUAGACUUUUGCAAUUUUUGGUCUUCAACGAGGAAUUCCUAGUAAACGCAAGUCAUCAACUUGCAUUGAUUACGUCCCUGCCCUUUGUACACACCGCCCGUCGCACCUACCGCUUGAAUGGUCCGGUGAAGCCUCCGGAUUGGCGCGCACCUCGGUGCCGCCGAGAAGUUGGCUAAACCUUACCAUUUAGAGGAAGGUGAAGUCGUAACA